UCUUAGUGGCGGACGGGUGAGUAACGCGUGGGUAACCUGCCUUAUACAGGGGGAUAACACUUAGAAAUAGGUGCUAAUACCGCAUAAGCGCACGGGGCUGCAUGGCCCAGUGUGAAAAACUCCGGUGGUAUACGAUGGUUCCGCGUCUGAUUAGCUAGUUGGUGGGGUAAUGGCCUACCAAGGCAACGAUCAGUAGCCGGCCUGAGAGGGUGAACGGCCACAUUGGGACUGAGACACGGCCCAAACUCCUACGGAAGGCAGCAG
rnacentral:rRNA from 1 species